rnacentral:rRNA from 1 species
UAUUGCACAAUGGGGGAAACCCUGAUGCAGCGACGCCGCGUGAGCGAUGAAGUAUUUCGGUAUGUAAAGCUCUAUCAGCAGGGAAGAANNUGACGGUACCUGACUAAGAAGCCCCGGCUAACUACGUGCCAGCAGCCGCGGUAAUACGUAGGGGGCGAGCGUUAUCCGGAAUUACUGGGUGUAAAGGGAGCGUAGACGGUGAGGUAAGCCUGAAGUGGAAGCCCGCGGCCCAACCGCGGAACUGCUUUGGGAACUGUUUUGCUGGAGUAUGGGAGGGGUAAGCGGAAUUCCUGGUGUAGCGGUGAAAUGCGUAGAUAUCAGGAGGAACACCGGUGGCGAAGGCGGCUUACUGGACCAUAACUGACGUUGAGGCUCGAAAGCGUGGGGAGCGAAC